GGUUAACCGUAUAGGGGAGCCGAAGGGAAACCGAGUCUUAACUGGGCGUUAAGUUGCAGGGUAUAGACCCGAAACCCGGUGAUCUAGCCAUGGGCAGGUUGAAGGUUGGGUAACACUAACUGGAGGACCGAACCGACUAAUGUUGAAAAAUUAGCGGAUGACUUGUGGCUGGGGGUGAAAGGCCAAUCAAACCGGGAGAUAGCUGGUUCUCCCCGAAAGCUAUUUAGGUAGCGCCUCGUGAACUCAUCUUCGGGGGUAGAGCACUGUUUCGGCUAGGGGGUCAUCCCGACUUACCAACCCGAUGCAAACUGCGAAUACCGAAGAAUGUUAUCACGGGAGACACACGGCGGGUGCUAACGUCCGUCGUGAAGAGGGAAACAACCCAGACCGCCAGCUAAGGUCCCAAAGUCAUGGUUAAGUGGGAAACGAUGUGGGAAGGCACAGACAGCCAGGAUGUUGGCUUAGAAGCAGCCAUCAUUUAAAGAAAGCGUAAUAGCUCACUGGUCGAGUCGGCCUGCGCGGAAGAUGUAACGGGGCUAAACCAUGCACCGAAGCUGCGGCAGCGACACUAUGUGUUGUUGGGUAGGGGAGCGUUCUGUAAGCCGUUGAAGGUGUGUCGUGAGGCAUGCUGGAGGUAUCAGAAGUGCGAAUGCUGACAUAAGUAACGAUAAUGCGGGUGAAAAACCCGCACGCCGGAAGACCAAGGGUUCCUGUCCAACGUUAAUCGGGGCAGGGUGAGUCGACCCCUAAGGCGAGGCCGAAAGGCGUAGUCGAUGGGAAACAGGUUAAUAUUCCUGUACUUGGUGUUACUGCGAAGGGGGGACGGAGAAGGCUAUGUUAGCCGGGCGACGGUUGUCCCGGUUUAAGCAUGUAGGCGG
rnacentral:rRNA from 1 species